UAUGAUGAUGUCGAAUUAAAUUUUAUGAGUUUAAUUUUUUUAUAUAGUUGUUUCUAUAAUUAAGGGGUUUCGGUUAUGUAGUUUUCUUAUAAUUACGUUGGUUUUGUUUUACUUUUUUUUUUUAUUGUAUAAACUAUGAUUAACUUAUACAAAAUGGUUCCCUUUUAAUAGUAUAGAUAUUCGAUGAGUAUAAUUUAAGUGAAGAAAGGAAAUGAUUUAAAUCAGUAUGGGAAGGCCCAGUUCGCAAUUACUAGAU
rnacentral:lncRNA from 1 species